rnacentral:misc_RNA from 1 species
GGAAGUAAAAGUUGUAACAAGGUUUCCGUAGGUGAACCUGCGGAAGGCUCAUUAUUGUAUAACCGAGGUGCGAGGGCUGUCGCUGACCCGAAAGUUCGUGCACGCCCGAGUGCCCUCACACACAUCCAUCUCACCCCUAUGUGCACCACCGCGUGGGUCCCCCUUUGGCUUGUUCGGAGGGGGGCUUACGUUUUCACACAAACUUUGUAUGCAGUGUAGAAUGUAUUUUUUGUUUUUGCGUUCACGCAAUAAAUACAACUUUCAACAACGGAUCUCUUGGCUCUC